ACCAGCCAGGCCAUGCCCUCCUUCAGCAGGUGAUCCUGCAGGGAAAAACGGGAAAAAAUGGGAAAAAUGGGAUUGGGAAAAUGGCACUGGGAACCAGCCAGGCCAUGCCCUCCUUCAGCAGGUGAUCCUGGAAAAAUGGGAAAAAAUGGGAAAAAAUGGGAAAAAUGGGAAUGGGAACCAGCCAGGCCAUGCCCUCCUUCAGCAGGUGAUCCUGGAAAAAUGGGAAAAAUGGGAAAAAUGGGAUUGGGAAUAAUGGGAAUGGGAACCAGCCAGGCUGUGCCCUCCUUCAGCAGGUGGUCCUGGAAAAAUGGGGAAAAUGGGAAAAAAAUGGGAAUAAUGGCAUUGGGAGCCAGCCAGGCCAUGCCCUCCUUCAGCAGGUGAUCCUGCAGGGAAAAAUGGGAAAAAUGGGAAAAACGGGAAUGGGAGCCAGCCAGGCCAUGCCCUCCUUCAGCAGGUGGUCCUGCAGGGAAAAAUGGGGAAAAAAUGGGAAAAAAGGGAAUAAUGGCAUUGGGAACCAGCCAGGCCAUGCCCUCCUUCAGCAGGUGAUCCUGCAGGGAAAAAUGGGGAAAAAUGGGAAAAAAUGGGAAAAAUGGCACUGGGAACCAGCCAGGCCAUGCCCUCCUUCAGCAGGUGGUCCUGCAGGGAAAAAUGGGGAAAAAAUGGGAAAAAAUGGGAAUAUUGGCAUUGGGAGCCAGCCAGGCCAUGCCCUCCUUCAGCAGGUGGUCCUGGAAAAACGGGGAAAAUGGGA